GAAGUGUGCGAUGAAAGCGCACAGGCAAACUCUUGGUGCCUACAAAUCAGCUGAACUCCAAGUUGCCAUGACUAGUAUUUUUAUCUGGCUUUUAGCACUGGUCUCCUAUGCCCCCUUUUUUGCAGGAGUCAUACUAGAUGCAACCAUGCAGUUGUGCCCCACCGAGGCGUACCCGAGCGUCUUUGUAUUCCGAAACUGUACGGCUAUGAUGAUAACCAUGAACAGCUUGGGGAACCCCAUCAUCUACACACUGAAAGUCAAAAACCUGGGGCAUAAGCUCAGAUUGCUGAAGUGCCCGUCCAGCAACCGCAUCCAAGUGCAGGCUAUUGGGAAUAGGUAAUCUUCCCUGAAAUUGCAUAAGGAGGACUAGAACUGCAUGGCUCGAAUCAGACAGCACACCCGGUAUAUUCAUGUCGGUAACUUUAACACGGUACAGAUCUACUUUUCCAAGCUAGUUUCUUUUCUAUAGACUCUGGCUGCCUCCUGUGAAGCUGAACUCAAAUUUGGCCGUGUCGUAGAUUGGCUUACAACUGGGGAUCCACUUCAGAACUGGAGUGACGGGACAGCUCCCUGGUAAGGUUUGGGACAAAGCAGGACAGAGGUUUGGGGCAAUUCUCCCGUUGGAAUAAACCACACUGGAUCGGGAAUCUAAGUGUCUUGCCUGGCAUUGUAUCUGUGAAGAAAUUCAUAACUGAACACUUAGGGGAGCAAAAAGGGGAAAAAAAAAAAAAAAAAAAAAAAAAAAAAAAAAAAAAAGCAAAAAAAAAUCGUGUUUCUGAGUUGAUACUGACCGUGACCAAUUAUUAGACUGUAUUUAGAAAUGCGAUCUAUCAAAUGGUUUCUUAGGUUGCUUCUCUGGGAGCAUUUCCGCAUCUUUUCUUUGUCUCAUUAUGAUAAAAGUAGCAAUAUUGGCGUUUCAAAAGGACAAAGCAAAAUGAGUGGCUUUUACAGUGUGUGAACUGGAAUUGAAUUUCCAGUUAAUCCUUGAAUCCUAAACACAAUGGAUAGGAGCAGCUGUAGUGUGUUUGCUGACAUUUCUCAGUUGUGUGCCUGAUUUGUCUAUCUCUUUAUUAGACACCCAAAGUUUAUUUUGCAUUAAGAGAUCAAAAUCAACCCAUUGUGAAUGUUUGUUUUGCAGUUGGAAAUGUGCCUGACCUGCGCUGGAACGGCUACCAAAACGUUGUUCGUUCUUUGUACUGCUUUAUCAGCCUAAACGCCCUUGGGAGCCCUUUGGUUGAUUUGCAAGCACAUUUUCAGAAAAUGGGAAACAAAUUAAAGUUUCAAUUCUUUAUUUAAAACCAGUAAAAAAAUGCAUUUGUAAGUCUGUUCUUGUACAUUUUUAAUAUAACACUUAACGUUUUUGACUGUAGCACUUUCGAUUGCCAAAUGAGUCUUUUUGGGAAACAUUGACAACCAUGUAUUUUUAAUAAAUUUUUCUGGCUUUUACUUCUCAUACCUCACCCCCUGUGACUUGAAUGUUUGAACAGUAGCUUCAGUUAAAAAAAAAAAAAAAAA